CCUACGAGAGGCAGCAGUGAGGAAUAUUGGUCAAUGGGCGCAAGCCUGAACCAGCCAAGUCGCGUGAGGGAUGACGGUCCUAUGGAUUGUAAACCUCUUUUGUCGGGGAGCAAGGCCCGCCACGUGUGGCGGGAAGGAGAGUACCCGAAGAAAAAGAAUCGGCUAACUCCGUGCCAGCAGCCGCGGUAAUACGGAGGAUGCGAGCGUUAUCCGGAUUUAUUGGGUUUAAAGGGUGCGUAGGCGGAAGGUUAAGUCAGCGGUCAAAUGUCGGUGCUCAACACCGGCCUGCCGUUGAAACUGGUCUUCUGGAGUGGGCGAGAAGUAUGCGGAAUGCGUGGUGUAGCGGUGAAAUGCAUAGAUAUCACGCAGAACUCCGAUUGCGAAGGCAGCAUGCCGGCGCUCAACUGACGCUGAGGCACGAAAGCGUGGGGAUCGAACAGGAUUAGAUACCCCAGUAGUC
rnacentral:rRNA from 1 species